CUCAAAUUCCUGAGCUCAGGUGAUCUGCCCGCCUCUGUCUCCCAAAGUGCUGGGAUUACAGGCGUGAGCCACCGUGAAUCUAUUUUCCAAACACACAAAGGAGUGUUUGGUGUCUCAGCCUGAAAGGAGCAGUAAUGGUAGGAUUGAAGGCACACAGCAAUCCAGGAAGAAGGCAAUGAACCCAGCUGGAGCCCUAAGAGGUUGAAAGUGGAAUUUUGUCCCCUCUACAGUGGACACUCAAAGAACUAGCCAGGACGGGUUGGACGCGGGAGCAGAGAGACCAUGGCUUCCUUCCAAGGCUGGGAGAAGGGAGUCGCCACUCUUUCCCAAGCAAGAAGGGAGAAUCAAACCAUGCCAAGAAUGAGGCUUUUGCAAGGAAAUCAAUGCAGAUGAGAACUUGCCAACAGUUAAGAUGAAUAAAUAUAUCCAACUGC